rnacentral:rRNA from 1 species
AAAAGGGUAGGCAGGGCAGCUGAUGCACCCAUGCCGCGUGGUGUGAAGAAGGCCUUCGGGGAUUGUAAAAGCACUUUCAGCGAGGAGGAAGGGUUGCUGGGUUAAUACCCCGGGUUCAUUGACGUUACUCGCAGAAUAAGCACCGGCUAACUCCGUGCCAGCAGCCGCGGUAAUACGGAGGGUGCAAGCGUUAAUCGGAAUUACUGGGCGUAAAGCGCACGCAGGCGGUUUGUUAAGUCAGAUGUGAAAUCCCCGAGCUUAACCUGGGAACUGCAUUUGAAACUGGCAAGCUAGAGUCUUGUAGAGGGGGGUAGAAUUCCAGGUGUAGCGGUGAAAUGCGUAGAGAUCUGGAGGAAUACCGGUGGCGAAGGCGGCCCCCUGGACUAAGACUGACGCUCAGGUGCGAAAGCGUGGGGAGCAAACAGGAUUAGAUACCCUGGUAGUCCACGCCGUAAACGAUGUCGACUUGCAGGUUGUGCCCUUGAGGCUUGGCUUCCGGAGCUAACGCGUUAAGUCGACCGCCUGGGGAGUACGGCCGCAAGGUUAAAACUCAAAUGAAUUGACGGGGGCCCGCACAAGCGGUGGAGCAUGUGGUUUAAUUCGAUGCAACGCGAAGAACCUUACCUACUCUUGACAUCCAGAGAAUUCGCUAGAGAUGGCUUGGUGCCUUCGGAAACUCUGAGACAGGUGCUGCAUGGCUGUCGUCAGCUCGUGUUGUGAAAUGUUGGGUUAAGUCCCGCAACGAGCGCAACCCUUAUCUUUGUUGCCAGCGAGUCGUGCUGGUAACUCAAAGGAGACUGCCGGUGAUAAACCGGAGGAGGGUGGGGAUGACUUCAAGUCCUCAUGGCCCUUACGAUUUGGGCUACACACGUGCUACAGUGCUGAUACAAAGAGACCCCAAUCGCGAGAGAUAGCAAAUUCACUAAGUCGUUCCGAAUCCGAAUCGGAGUCUGCACUUCAACUCCUUGAAGUCGGGAAUCGUUAGUAAUCCGAAAUCAAAGUGCUACGGGGAUACCGUUCCCGGACCUUGUACACCCUCCCCGUUUAACCAGGGGAAUUGGU